rnacentral:rRNA from 1 species
UACGUAGGGACCGAGCGUUGUCCGGAUUCAUUGGGCGUAAAGAGCUCGUAGGCGGCUGUUCAAGUCGAACGUGAAAACUCGGAGCUCAACUCCGAGCCUGCGUUCGAUACUGGACGCUAGAGUCUGGUAGGGGGAUCUGGAAUUCCUGGUGUAGCGGUGGAAUGCGCAGAUAUCAGGAGGAACACCGGUGGCGAAGGCGGGACUCUGGGCCGAUACUGACGCUGAGGAGCGAAAGCGUGGGGAGCAAACAGG